UUUUAUAAUUCUUUUGAAUUCUUUGCUCUCUUUUCCCUCCCUCUGUCUCUCUCUGUUCGGUGGUGGUGCGAUCCCUUCUUCAAUGAUCGAGGAUGGAGAUCUAGACAAUGGAUCUCAUCUCAAUGAUCCUUAGCAAAGAGGAAAUGUAUUAGAUUGCAAUUCUUUGAUCUUUUCUUUAAACCAAUUUUUGCGAGAACUCGAUCAAUCCAUGAUGAUGAUGUAGAUCCAAAAGACGGUUUGGGAUUUCAACCGGUGAUUUAUCUUCCGAGGAUCUUUAUCAUCUUUGAAAAGUGCAUUGAUCUCAAUGAUAAUCUUCCAGAAUUGGAAGAGAAAUAUUCAGAUGUAUUUGAUCCAUAGUUGAAAUGAGAGAGAAUUUGCUAGAUUGUCAAAGAUCAAGAGUAGGAUUGAGAAGAGUAUUGUUUUUGAGCUUGAGACUUUUAACAUCUUGCUGCAUCUUGAGAAAGGUGAGGUCAAUUUUGUGCACUUAAUUUUGAUUGGCUGAUUCUUUUCGUUCUUCAUUGUUUGUUCCACAAGGGAUGUUUGUAGCAUCAUUCUCGUGGAAGAUUAAGGAGAAAUGUAAGGAUAAGAUUGAGGUCUGUGAAAAGGUUAUAUAUAUAUAUAUAUAUAUAUGUAUUUUUAGUUGGUAAUAAGACCAUUUACCAUGAAGGGUGCAGGUCGCCCAAUUUUAAUAAAAUUUUCCCAUUUUGUGGUUCUUGAAUAGGUGAUGAUGCAGGUAUUGUAUUUAUUAAGGCAACACCUCCAAGUCAUAUGUAUAGACCAACUAUGGACCAAUGAUUACUUAGUUUAUUGA